GGGUCCAGCCGCCCCCCCAUGACCCUGUAAAAUGGAUGGAUGCAAUACUUGUUCUUGUUCUUCUCUAUCUAUGUAACGGCUGCCAUUGCCAUGGGAAAUCCUGCCUUUCCUCAAAGGAAAAAAAGACAACAAGCAGGAAAAGAUCCCUCACCAAUCCGGUGGUCACAAACCGAGUGAACAGCGAGAAACAUCGAGAACCACAAUGCCCUCAAUCAGAUGAAAAAAGACAGUGGACGACGUCCCAGUAAAAGACAUCAUCAGCUGUCCUCAUGUGGCUGUCAGCUAUAUGUCCAGCCUCUUCUAUGUGCUGAACAUCAUGCACCCUAGGGGAGCAGCACUGAUUCUAGAGUUUACCCAAAUAUAUGUUUUGACAAUGUUCUUUGUCCAUUUA